ACAGUGACAAUUGGUCGGAAUUUUACAGUUACAUCUGGCAAAAUGAUCGGCCCUUAUUUCUCCCAGUUUUCUUUAUCGACUGCCUGAAAGUGAAAUUAAAGGAUGGUGUGGCCUUCUCCACAGAGGAAGAACAAUUCCAACGUCCCACACCCCAACAGCUAGCGCAUUAAAUAAAUCAAGAUUCCCAGCAGCCUCCAGCAUACUAAAGAUAAAACAUCAAGAAAGAACUUGAGACCAAAGUCAUCAAAUGCAGACAGACAUUCUAUGAGGUAUUUAUUUGCAACGACUAGGUUUGCUUGCUCAGUGUCAGGUCACCAAAGACAAAUGUUCAGGCUCCCAGUGGAUCCGAACCAAAGUUCAUACAGUUUGGCCACUUUAGGAUGGCAAGCAUUUGGAGAGGAGAGGAUCACCUUAGAGGAACAUCCAGAACAAAGACAUGAGAAGCUCGGGAUGGAUCCAUUCCACGUAUCAAGGGCAGACCUAAUGUGAAGCAUGUCACAUGACAGCGAGAGGCAAAUGGCAGGCACACAUACCACGUUCCCUUGUGUUCCAUUCCAAAUCAGGGCAUAGUCCCGAUGGUAAUCGACAGUUGAGAAAGAAGAGCUGAAAGACACAGGCGCUGAACAACGUUUAAUUGCUGUGUGUUAAAUUAGGUGACUGGGUUUCAGGGUGACACCUCACAGAGAGAUGCCAAAGGUGGUGCCAUUGCAUCAGUUUUCCUGCACUUGGUCGUUCUGCUUUCCUGCAGGAGAUGCCACGUCCAAAGGAGACACACGCCAAAACACAUAAAAGAGAACUGAAAAACAGAAAGAGGAACUUUUAAGAUGAAGAGUCCCCCACACGGAAAGGAGCUAAACUGCAGGACGGUAUUUAUGUUUAGAGGUAUAGCUUCAAUACCAGACAGCCUUGAGCCCUGAUUCGCGAGCUUCAAGGCUUACCAUUGGAGGGAAGAUGACAUUUUUAAAAGUUUUCCCCUGUUUCUUUGGAAAUCCAGUGAUUUUUCUCUACCAGACCCCACAGUUACCUUCACCCAUCCUUCUUUCUCUUGUCUUUGUGACAGCUGUGUUAGGUGCUAGAGGAGCAAGAAAGUAAACAUGGAGACACAUAAAAAGACUUGGGAACUGGGGAACUGUUUGUGGUUGUUGAGACAUGAGGUUAUGUAGGGGACAAUGGCAGGAUAUGAGGCAGGACAAUUAAAUUUGGGAUAGAUCCCACUCUCCCGGGAGUUUAGAUUUUGUCUUUUAGACAAUAGGAGGCCCCC